rnacentral:rRNA from 1 species
GAUGAACGCUGGCGGCGUGCUUAACACAUGCAAGUCGAGCGGGCAAUUUAUCUAGCACUGAUUACUUCAAAUGGAAAUCAUAAGUGUAAUCAUGAAUUUCUACCUUUAAUAAAGAAAAAAGAAAUUCAUGUACGCAAAUAAUGAUAACACAUUUUAGUGGAGUGAUGAGUGCUGGAUAAAUUGCUAGCGGCGGACGGGUGCGUAACACGUGGGUAACCUGCCCCUAUCACUGGGAUAACACACUGAAAAGUGUGCUAAUACCAGAUAAUAUAAGCUUUUGGCAUCAUUAGCUUAUCAAAGAAUUUCGGAUAGGGAUGGGCCCGCGUCUGAUUAGCUAGUUGGUGAGGUAACGGCUCACCAAGGCAACGAUCAGUAGCCGACCUGAGAGGGUGAUCGGCCACACUGGAAUUGAGACACGGUCCAGACUCCUACGGGAGGCAGCAGUGGGGAAUAUUGCACAAUGGGC